rnacentral:lncRNA from 1 species
CAGGCAGAGGAGGCGCUGAGAGCGAGCAAGGGCUCUGAGGACUGUCAGCACGCUGUCACCUCUCACUAUUGUGAGACUUCACGUUGUGAUGGUCAAUCUAUCUAACAGCCUGUGGAUGAGGUCAAAGGAAAGAGGGAAGAAAGGAGAAAGGGGAGAAGGAAAGAACUUGAGGCUUUGAUGACCGUUGGAAUGCAGAGAAGCUAUGAGAAAAGAGCUACAAGAGAAAAAUGGCAGCAUUGCAAAGUGCAAGAACACUGAAGGGAUUAAACAGCAUUCUAGAAAACAAGACAGACCAUGAAGAGUAUGGGAAGAAACAGGAAGGCCUAUUUCCCGGUACCAUACCCAGAAGCUGUAUAAUAGGUGAUAUACAUUUGAGACCCAGGAGACUCAGCAUAUGGUGAAGGUUCACAGAGACACGUGCAGAUGGAGAAUACCACUGCUAAACUGGCAACACUUGGUUAAACACCAGAAUGGAUUACAUACAAUCAAUGCGAGGAACCUGGAAAUCAAGGCUGGAAAGAAGCCUUAAGUAAGGCAAUUUGUCUAGAGAUGAAACAUGAGAAGAAGGCCAGAGUAAGGAGGGGUGUCAAAACCUAGCAGAGGAGUUAAUAGGCAAUAUUGUUAUCAGAAAGGAAAGUAUUACAGGGAAUUAUGAUCCAGUCAAUUAGUAGGGUCAGUACAAAGCAGCAGCAAGAAAUGUUUGUUUAGGAGAAAUAAGCCACUUGCGUAG